rnacentral:rRNA from 1 species
CCCGGCGCACCGCUCAGUAACACGUGGGUAACCUGCCCUAUGCUGGGGAAUAACCUCGGGAAACUGAGAAUAAUGCCCCAUAGUCCACUACGCCUGGAACGGUGAGUGGAUCAAAGCUCCGGCGGCAUAGGAUGGGCCUGCGCCGUAUCAGGUUGUAGGGGGUGUAAAGUACCCUCUAGCCAUCAACGCGUACGGGUGUUGGGAGACAUUGCCCGGAGAUGGAUUCUGAGACACGAAUCCAGACCCUACGGGGUGCAGCAGGCGCGAAAACUUGGCAAUGCGAGCAAUCGUGACCAGGGAACUCCAAGUACUUGGGGUAAGACCCAAGCUUUUCUUGACUCUUAAACGGUCUUGGAAUAAGGGGUGGGUAAGGACGGUGCCAGCCGCCGCGGUAAUACCGGCGCCUCAAGUGGUAGUCGCUUUUAUUGGGCCUAAAACGUCCGUAGCCGGUCUGGUGCAUUCGUGGGUAAAUCAACCCGCUCAACGGGUUGAAUUCUGCGAGCACGGCC